rnacentral:rRNA from 1 species
UGGGGAAUUUUGGACAAUGGACGCAAGUCUGAUCCAGCCAUGCCGCGUGCGGGAAGAAGGCCUCCGGGUUGUAAACUGCUUUUGUACGGAGCGAAAAGGUCUGCCCUAAUACGGUGGGCUCAUGACGGUACCGUAAGAAUAAGCACCGGCUAACUACGUGCCAGCAGCCGCGGUAAUACGUAGGGUGCGAGCGCUAAUCGGAAUUACUGGGCGUAAAGCGUGCGCAGGCGGUUAUAUAAGACAGGUGUGAAAUCCCCGGGCUCAACCUGGGACCUGCAUUUGUGACUGUAUAGCUAGAGUACGGUAGAGGGGGAUGGAAUUCCGCGUGUAGCAGUGAAAUGCGUAGAUAUGCGGAGGAACACCGAUGGCGAAGGCAAUCCCCUGGACCUGUACUGACGCUCAUGCACGAAAGCGUGGGGAGCAAACA